AGUGAACGCUGGCGGUAGGCCUAACACAUGCAAGUCGAACGGCAGCACAGUAAGAGCUUGCUCUUACGGGUGGCGAGUGGCGGACGGGUGAGGAAUACAUCGGAAUCUACUUUUUCGUGGGGGAAAACGUAGGGAAACUUACGCUAAUACCGCAUACGACCUACGGGUGAAAGCAGGGGAUCUUCGGACCUUGCGCGAUUGAAUGAGCCGAUGUCGGAUUAGCUAGUUGGCGGGGUAAAGGCCCACCAAGGCGACGAUCCGUAGCUGGUCUGAGAGGAUGAUCAGCCACCAUGGAACUUAGACACGGUCCAGACUCCUACGGGAGGCAGCAGUGGGGAAUAUUGGACAAUGGGCGCAAGCCUGAUCCAGCCAUACCGCGUGGGUGAAGAAGGCCUUCGGGUUGUAAAGCCCUUUUGUUGGGAAAGAAAAGCAGCAGGUUAAUACCCCGCUGUUCUGACGGUACCCAAAGAAUAAGCACCGGCUAACUUCGUG
rnacentral:rRNA from 1 species